rnacentral:rRNA from 1 species
AUUGAACGCUGGCGGCAGGCCUAACACAUGCAAGUCGAACGGUAACAGGAAGCAGCUUGCUGCUUUGCUGACGAGUGGCGGACGGGUGAGUAAUGUCUGGGAAACUGCCCGAUGGAGGGGGAUAACUACUGGAAACGGUAGCUAAUACCGCAUAACGUCGCAAGACCAAAGAGGGGGACCUUAGGGCCUCUUGCCAUCGGAUGUGCCCAGAUGGGAUUAGCUAGUAGGUGGGGUAACGGCUCACCUAGGCGACGAUCCCUAGCUGGUCUGAGAGGAUGACCAGCCACACUGGAACUGAGACACGGUCCAGACUCCUACGGGAGGCAGCAGUGGGGAAUAUUGCACAAUGGGCGCAAGCCUGAUGCAGCCAUGCCGCGUGUAUGAAGAAGGCCUGCGGGUUGUAAAGUACUUUCAGCGGGGAGGAAGGGAGUAAAGUUAAUACCUUUGCUCAUUGACGUUACCCGCAGAAGAAGCACCGGCUAACUCCGU